CGCGUAGGCGGCCAUGUAAGUCGGGUGUGAAAGCCCGGGGCUCAACCCCGGAACGGCACCCGAGACUGCGUGGCUCGAGACCGGAAGAGGUGAGUGGAAUACCCAGUGUAGAGGUGAAAUUCGUAGAUAUUGGGUGGAACACCGGUGGCGAAAGCGGCUCACUGGUCCGGUUCUGACGCUGAGGCGCGAAAGCGUGGGGAGGCAAAACA
rnacentral:rRNA from 1 species